CUAGUAUGCAUUUUUGUAGUAGGGAAUGAAGGGCAGCAAAGAGAACCCUUUGUUUUUCCACCUUUUUAGUUAUGUUUUUCAGUAGCUCUGAGACAAAGGGAGGAGACCCACCCCAAAAGCUCACAACAGACUCAGCUUUUUCUAAGGUAAAAAAAAAAGAACCCCCAAAGAACCAUAAGUGGAAAGGGCUGAUUUGAACCUAGAUUGCAGAAAGCCACUACAUUUUUGGUCCUUAUCACCAACAACCAUGUCCAAACCAGUGUGACUUGAAAGGAUUAGGGGCUGUUUUACAUGUAUUUACUGCUAAGGUGUUCCUGGUGAGUGCAGUUUGAAAGGGUUGUGUUGUGUGUGACAGAGGGUGAUUGAAGUACAGUUGGGUUAGUGUGAGAGAGGUGCAUUGCUCAGGGGUCAUUGUGCUUUAAAAGGGCUGUUCUGUAUGACUAGGGAGUUGUGAGAGUGUGACAUAUGUCAAUUGAAAUAAGGGUAUUAUGACAGAUGUAUAUUAUUCAGGGGUCUGGUUUAAAAGGGCUGUUGUGUGUGAAUUGCAGUUGGGGUAUUGUGACAGAUGUAUAUUAUUAAGAGGUCUGGUUUAAAAGGGCUCUUGUGUGUGAAUUGCAGUUGGGGUAUUGUGACAGAUGUAUAUUAUUAAGGGGUCUGGUUUAAAAGGGCUGUUGUGUGUGGAUUGCAGUUGGGGUAUUGUGAUGUAUAUUAUUCAGGGGUCUGGUUUAAAAGGGCUGUUGUGUGUGAAUUGCAGUUGGGGCAUUGUGACAGAUGUAUAUUAUUCAGGGGUCUGGUUUAAAAGGGCUGUUGUGUGUGGAUUGCAGUUGGGGUAUUGUGACAGAUGUAUAUUAUUCAGGGGUCUGGUUUAAAAGGGCUGUUGUGUGUGAAUUGCAGUUGGGGCAUUGUGACAGAUGUAUAUUAUUCAGGGGUCUGGUUUAAAAGGGCUGUUGUGUGUGGAUUGCAGUUGGGGUAUUGUGACAGAUGUAUAUUAUUAAGGGUCUGGUUUAAAAGGGCUGUUGUGUGUGGAUUGCAGUUGGGGUAUUGUGACAGAUGUAUAUUAUUCAGGGGUCUGGUUUAAAAGGGCUGUUGUGUGUGAAUUGCAGUUGGGGUAUUGUGACAGAUGUAUAUUAUUCAGGGGUCUGGUUUAAAAGGGCUCUUGUGUGUGAAUUGCAGUUGGGGUAUUGUGACAGAUGUAUAUUAUUCAGGGGUCUGGUUUAAAAGGGCUCUUGUGUGUGAAUUGCAGUUGGGGUAUUGUGACAGAUGUAUAUUAUUCAGGGGUCUGGUUUAAAAGGGCUCUUGUGUGUGAAUUGCAGUUGGGGUAUUGUGACAGAUGUAUAUUAUUCAGGGGUCUGGUUUAAAAGGGCUGUUGUGUGUGAAUUGCAGUUGGGGUAUUGUGAUGUAUAUUAUUCAGGGGGUCUGGUUUAAAAGGGCUCUUGUGUGUGAAUUGCUGUUGGAGUAUUGUGAUGUAUAUUAUUCAGGGGUCUGGUUUAAAAGGGCUGUUGUGUGUGAAUUGCAGUUGGGGCAUUGUGACAGAUGUAUAUUAUUCAGGGGUCUGGUUUAAAAGGGCUCUUGUGUGUGAAUUGCUGUUGGGGUAUUGUGAUAUAUAUUAUUUAGGAGGUCUGGUUUAAAAGGGGUCUUGUGUGUGAAUUGCUCUUGGGGUAUUGUGAUAUAUAUUAUUCAGGGGUCUGGUUUAAAAGGGCUAUUGUGUAGGAAUUGCAGUUGGGUGUGUAUAACAGAUAAGUGUGGUUCAGGGAUUUUUUUCAACAGAGCUCCUGCAUAUGAAUUGGUGUAGAGUGUGUGUAAUAAACGUGUGGGUUUUGGGAUUUUAGUUUGAAAGGGUUGUUGUGUAUGAAUUGAAGCUGAGAGCAUGUGACAGAUUAGUUUUGGCUCAGGGGAUCUCAUUUGAAAGGGCCAUAUUGGAAUGGACUGUUGUUGGGGGCUGUAUGAUAAACAGGUAGGGAUCAGGUUUU
rnacentral:lncRNA from 1 species